GAUGAACGCUGGCGGCGUGCCUAAUACAUGCAAGUCGAGCGAACAGACGAGGAGCUUGCUCCUCUGACGUUAGCGGCGGACGGGUGAGUAACACGUGGAUAACCUACCUAUAAGACUGGGAUAUCUUCGGGAAACCGGAGCUAAUACCGGAUAAUAUAUUGAACGGCAUGGUUCAAUAGUGAAAGGCGGUUUUGCUGUCACUUAUAGAUGGAUCCGCGCCGCAUUAGCUAGUUGGUAAGGUAACGGCUUACCAAGGCGACGAUGCGUAGCCGACCUGAGAGGGUGAUCGGCCACACUGGAACUGAGACACGGUCCAGACUCCUACGGGAGGCAGCAGUAGGGAAUCUUCCGCAAUGGGCGAAAGCCUGACGGAGCAACGCCGCGUGAGUGAUGAAGGUCUUCGGAUCGUAAAACUCUGUUAUUAGGGAAGAACAAAUGUGUAAGUAACUAUGCACGUCUUGACGGUACCUAAUCAGAAAGCCACGGCUAACUACGUG
rnacentral:rRNA from 1 species